rnacentral:rRNA from 1 species
UACGUAGGGGGCAAGCGUUGUCCGGAUUUAUUGGGCGUAAAGAGCGUGUAGGCGGCCAAAUAGGUCGGUUGUGAAAACUGGAGGCUUAACCUCCAGACGUCGACCGAAACCAUCUGGCUAGAGUCCGGAAGAGGAGAAUGGAAUUCCUGGUGUAGCGGUGAAAUGCGCAGAUAUCAGGAAGAACACCCGUGGCGAAGGCGGUUCUCUGGGACGGUACUGACGCUGAGACGCGAAAGCGUGGGGAGCGAACAGG